CCCUUAGACGUUCUGGGCCGCACGCGCGCUACACUGACCAGUGCAACAAGCAUCCGUCCUUGGCCGACAGGCCCGGGCAAUCUUUGAACGCUGGUCGUGAUGGGGAUAGACUUUUGCAAUUUUUGGUCUUCAACGAGGAAUUCCUAGUAAACGCAAGUCAUCAACUUGCAUUGAUUACGUCCCUGCCCUUUGUACACACCGCCCGUCGCACCUACCGAUUGAAUGGUCCGGUGAAGCCUCCGGAUUGGCGCGCACCUCGGUGCCGCCGAGAAGUUGGCUAAACCUUACCAUUUAGCGGAAGGUGAAGUCGUAACA
rnacentral:rRNA from 1 species